ACUGCUCAGUAACACGUGGACAACCUGCCCUUUAGGUUGGGUAUAAACCCGGGAAACUGGGUAUAAUACCCGAUAGGUCUCGGUUGCUGGAAUGCAUCGAGAUUUAAAGCUCCGGCGCCUAAGGAUGGGUCUGCGGCCUAUCAGGUAGUAGUGGGUGUAGCGUACCUACUAGCCUACGACGGGUACGGGUUGUGAGAGCAAGAGCCCGGAGAUGGAUUCUGAGACACGAAUCCAGGCCCUACGGGGUGCAGCAGGCGCGAAAACUUUACAAUGCUGGCAACAGCGAUAAGGGAACCUCGAGUGCCAGGUUACAAAUCUGGCUGUCGAGAUGCCUAAAAAGCAUUUCAUAGCAAGGGCCGGGCAAGACCGGUGCCAGCCGCCGCGGUAACACCGGCGGCUCGAGUGGUAACCGUUAUUAUUGGGUCUAAAGGGUCUGUAGCCGGCCGGAUAAGUCUCUUGAGAAAUCUGGCAGCUUAACUGUCAGGCUUUCAGGAGAUACUGUCUGGCUCGAGGCCGGGAGAGGUGAGAGGUACUUCAGGGGUAGGGGUGAAAUCUUGUAAUCCUUGAAGGACCACCAGUGGCGAAGGCGUCUCACCAGAACGGACCUGACGGCAAGGGACGAAAGCUAGGGGCACGAACCGGAUUAGAUACCCGGGUAGUCCUAGCCGUAAACGAUACUCGCUAGGUGUCGGCCACGGUGCGACCGUUGUCGGUGCCGUAGGGAAGCCGUGAAGCGAGCCACCUGGGAAGUACGGCCGCAAGGCUGAAACUUAAAGGAAUUGGCGGGGGAGCAC
rnacentral:rRNA from 1 species